UCACAGGCCAUCUUGAUAAUGCAGUUAUAGCAGUUGGUUCCCUUUCUAUUUGCGUGAACAUUAACGGAUUUGAACUAAUGUUGUUCAUUGGAAUAAAUGUGGCAAUAAGUGUGCGUGUCUCCAGUGAGCUUGGAUCAGGACGACCAAGAGCAGCCAAAUACUCUGUCUAUGUGACAGUAUUUCAGUGUCUUCUAA